UAUCCCGCUCGUCGAAGUGCUCCAGCUCCAUGUCUCUGCCGAAGGACAUGAUGGACUUCAGGUAGGACCUACGAGCCCCAGAAACAAAAGCAGACACACAUAUUGAUUAAACUGACCUCUGAUCCCUUCAGAAUGGCUAAAAUUUCACACCUGAAACCAUGGCUAGAGAUUUGGUACUCCAGAAAUGAAGUGGAAGAAAGCAAUAUUUAUUGAAGGUCUAGGAGGUACCUGACACUAUUACUCAUCAACCAGUUGUAUAAUACGCCAAAAAUUCUCUUCUAAACCUCAUAUUAAUCCAACAAGGUUCUGAUCCACUAAAGAGAAAGGAAAAGAUCUUUACACUCCCUUUUCCAAGAAAUCUUCUGCUUCUGCAGGAAGGUCCACCUGAAAACAGAGGGCCCAUAACACUCGUUGGGAAGCACCGACAGACAUCCCAGACUCUCCUCAUCC